rnacentral:rRNA from 1 species
CGGCGUACGGGUGCGUAACACGUGUGCAACCUGCCUUUAUCUGGGGGAUAGCCUUUCGAAAGGAAGAUUAAUACUCCAUAAUAUAUUGAACGGCAUCGUUUAAUAUUGAAAGCUCCGGCGGAUAGAGAUGGGCACGCGCAAGAUUAGCUAGUUGGUGAGGUAACGGCUCACCAAGGCGAUGAUCUUUAGGGGGCCUGAGGGGGUGAUCCCCCACACUGGUACUGAGACACGGACCAG